rnacentral:lncRNA from 1 species
AUGAAGUCCUUCAGGACUGCGACGAUUCUUGUUGGGUUUAUCACUAUGACUGGUUUUUGGAUGCCGUGUGUGCCUGCUGCUGAGGUCCAAUACGUCCAGUUCGGUUCAACAGUCACUCUGGGCUGUAACAUCUCCUACCUUUAUGAUACAACAUGGUUUAAGCACAAUCCAAAUUUCCCCCCCACUGUCGUCCUCUGUGCCAGCCUCAAAGACGCACAACUAAACCAAGGGUUUCAGCUCAACCCUCGUUUCUCAGUGGAGUUGACAAACCGAUCUCUGGCACUGCGGAUCACUGCUGUUGAGAAGAGGGACCUCGGGCUGUAUUUCUGUAUUGCUAGUGUGAACGCACAAUUAAAGGUUGGAAAAGGAACAAUGCUUCAAGAUUCUUCUCCAGGUUCCUCUUGGUUCCUCUUUCAACACGGGUACUGUAUGGGUGUGGGGAUUGUGCUUCUCAUCAUGGUGCUGGCUGUUUGCACCGCCAACUGGAAAGCCAAGUCAAACAAGGAGACCGCCAACGAGACCCCCACUGCUAACAGCACCAAACAGACUAAACCACUUCACACAAUACAUAACCAAACCACCAACAGCAGCUAAUGUAAUAGACCCUUUUCACAGCAGACAUCUCCUUGCAGGAAAAUCUGUCACUAAUAAGGUUUCUGAAGACCCUGGACCUGCUACACUUAAUGGAAUGUAUUAAUGAUCUUAAUCACACCUGUGCUUUUCAAGCUAUGUUGUUCUAAAAAUAAUCGUACACAAGUGAGUCUGGGGUUUUUCUGCAUUUCACUAAAUAAACAAUUACUGAUCAUGUUCCACACAAAAAGAGUAGACAAUAACAAGAUCAACAACAAUAUCAGUGAAUUGAACAAAAUGUACUCAGUUCAUCAGGUGGUGGUUUUCUGAUCCAGGUCUACUGGGUGGGUGUUUUUCUUGUAUUAUAUUUGUUGUACUCUGUGCAUAUUACUUGUUGCUAUGUGAACUUUAAUGUAAAGGACCUGUACUGAUUUCAGCUUUCUCCUGAAUAUGACAUUGUAUUUGAUGAUACAGUAUAUCAUGUAUAUACCAAGGGUAAGCUUAUGUACAAACUGUUGACCUGAAAUAGUUGUUUAACAUGUGCCAAUUAUCUGUAUCAGUAUCUAUUUUUGGAAUAGGUGGUGCUUAAACCAGACGUGGGCAGAAGUUGUUCAUUUUUAAAGCUGCAGUAGGUCUUUUUUUUUUUUUAUUACUUUUUGUUGUCAUAUUUGUGAAACAAUCAGGUUCCUCUGGCUCCUCCUAGUGCUCCUAAUGGUAUUUGCAAGAAUCCAAUGAAAACAUGUAUAACUAUUGUAACUAUUUUUUGAUUUGACUAUUUUGUGAGUACAUGGCUUUAGAAAACAACAUAUACUGUCAAUAGAAAAGCUGACGUUUUGGUAAAUAAACCAGUUAAGAUAUGUGGUAUUUUUCAGCACUAGCUUAUUGUAUUCUGGGGCAAUUUGAGCCCAUAAAGGUUAUUGAUUUCUGAAUAAGCUCUCAUUAUCAUUGAAGCAGACCUUCAACAAUUUGAAUCAAAUACUAUUAUGAUAUUUUGCUGUUCAGUGUUUUUGCCAUAGCUUUUAUAUGCUCAAUUUGAUGUAGGUCAGUGGUUCCCAACCCUUUUCUCUAAUGUACCCCCACAGCCCCGUCGGAAAAACUAAAGUACUCCUUGAUUGAAACUUCAUGUUAUGUUCUAAAUGUGUUAAUUCGAACUGAUUUUAAACUGGGAGUUAUAUUUUUUUAUACAGUUUACAUUUACAUUGCUACCACUACCAAUAGUAGUAACCCAUUUAUCAAUUACUUUUGUCUUUGUCACAAUUCUUUCUAAGGCUUUUAGCUAACUAUUUAAACUGUUUAUCUAUUACAUUAAGCUAUCCAUUGAACCAUCU